rnacentral:rRNA from 1 species
CAGCCGCCGCGGUAAUACGAAGGGUGCAAGCGUUACUCGGAAUUACAGGGCGUAAAGCGUGCGUAGGUGGUUGUUUAAGUCUGUCGUGAAAGCCCUGGGCUCAACCUGGGAAUUGCGAUGGAUACUGGGCGACUAGAGUGCGGUAGAGGAUAGUGGAAUUUCCGGUGUAGCAGUGAAAUGCGUAGAGAUCGGAAGGAACAUCUGUGGCGAAGGCGGCUAUCUGGGCCAACACUGACACUGAGACACGAAAGCGUGGGGAGCAAACAGGAUUAGAUACCCCAGUAGUCCCUGUCUCUUAUAC